ensembl:lncRNA
CAGGAAGUGGGCCCCAAGGCUAGUCAGGCCUUGUACGGGUGUUCUUGUUACUUGUACACACACACACACACACACACACACACACACACACACACACACCAGCAGUCGCGGCACUUGGCCGCUGACUCAUUCAUAGCAUUCCCUUCUUUCAUCCGAGUGGAGACGGGGAGGGAGAAGAAAGACAAAUGGAGAGAAUGAGACAAUGAAGGAGUGGAAAGAGUUUAAGACAGACAAAAAUGGUUUGAACGAGACAAACUGAAGAAAUAUUAUUCGUAUUAUUAUUAAUAAUAAUAAUAAUGAAAUCACAGCAGAACUUCUCGGUGCUUUUCUUUUCUAAAACGUUUGCGCCACUCAUGCAGUUUUGCUCUAUAGACUCGCGCUCAUCUAACGAGAUAAAAUGAGAGACUUGACUAAUUUGCCGCGUGGGACUUGCAGAUACUGAUCUCCAAGACGCAGAGACGUGGGAAGCUAGCAAACGUGUAACGAUGACUUCUUGUCAGACUCGCAGACUUGAAACGAGCAGUAACAGAGACGAUCGAUACGUUCAAGUGCCUGAAAUAAAAGGAGAGGAAACAGGAAAGGAGAAAAAGAGAAAAAGUAUCCUGUGUGUGUGUGUGUGUGUGUGUGUGUGUGUGUGUGUGUGUUCCAUAAAACCUCAUGCUAGGAGUUGAAGAUGUUGGGCGGAUCUACUUUCUCCUCUGCUUGGUGAACGUCACGGCAUCAGAAGGGCCCCGGGGGAGUCUGGAGCCUAUCCGAAGGAACUCGGGACACAAGAACUCGGGUUCCAACCCAUCACAUGGCACAUUCACACAAUACGGACAAUUUUGAAAUGCCAAUCAGCCUACAACGCAUGUCUUUGGACUCAGGGAGGAAACUGGAGUACCCGGAGGGAACCCCUGAAGCACUGGGAGAACACGCAUACUCUGCACACACAGGGCGGAGGCGGGAUUCAAACCUCCAAACCUCGGAGGCGCGAGGCAAACAUGCUAACCACUAAGCCAGUUGGUCGUAGACAUAAUUAGGCUCAAGUCUCCAUAGCUGCUUUGUGACGUUGUCUAUUGUUAAAAGCAUCACACACACACACACACACACACACACACACAAAUGAAAUUCAAAACCCCUUAUUAUAUCAUGUACUUGUUUUGUUAGUGAUGGGAUGAUUGCAGGAUGUGGAGAGUCACCGCACAGGGUGGAAGCUUAUCGUAAAUGCGUAUUAUUCGUUUAAAAUGUUUAAAAAAAAUUGUGCACAGCCCAAACUGUCAAUACGAUGAGGCUCACUGUGCGAUCAAUUGACCAAUAAGAAUAAUAGUUUAGAGACUACAGAGAAUUGUUAACACUGAUUUCUUCCACCCAGUCCUGUUCUGGUGUCCUGUCUAGUCAGCAUGCACAGUUGUAUAUUUUGAACACUGGUGUGUGUUUGUGUGUGUGUAAUCCUGUGCUGCAUUACGUACUACUGUAUCGUGUGUGGCGCCUGUGUUAAAUUCCCGAAGAAACAACAUUUUGUUCCACUGUGUACAGGUUCUCCGAGGCGGAAUGGCAGAAAAUAAGGGGAAAUGUACGGGAGAUAUCAUUAUAGCUCAGGCUAGUAGGGGUGUCAUGAAAAGACACUCUUAGUAUCUGUUUAGUGCUCUGUAUCUGUAUUUGAAUUUAACACGUUAACGAGAAGGCCCACCAAAACCCUGGAAAAAACGGGAUUCCGGCUCUGACAAUUCGUCAACCUCAGCUACGUCGCUCGAGUUCAUAAUCGGUCUCGCGGUUGUUCUUUUGGUUCGUACUUGCUUGCAAUAUUUUCAAACUUUUUUCUCAAAACAAACUAGUAGCCUAAAUGAACCAACACAGCCCAGACUAAGUGGUUACCUCACGUCGACGUUAACAAACGUGGUCUGUCUUUGCCGCAAGAGCAUCAUAUCUGACCACGGUAAAUACCGUGGUGAGAAAGAAGAGCGUCUGUAUGGAAACUGUAUGGCUAUAAACAACGUAACUUCUACUAGAAACUUCUGCUUCAUAAUGUACGUUUAUAGGCGAGAUCUGUUAUUCUGAUCUGACCUAUUCUCGUUUCGCAGCGCUACAUUGUUCCGCACUGUUUCUAAUUAAAGCUCUGCCGUGAAGGUUUGCCCGCUGCACCACACCCUCCGGCAGCCACCGUCUAAAAUCAGAUUAGCAAGCGGUGUCCCAACAGACACAUGAUUUAUCUCGUGUACACUUAUCUCCCUGUAAGUGAAGGAAAUCCACAGUAAAGGAGAAUAAAACCACACCACAGUCACGCCACCAGCCUGAGAGAAAUGAAACGCCGCUUUUACAGCUUUUACUGAAAAUAAAAGAAAAA